AACACUUCUGUGUAAGAGGCUAUUCGGGGAAGUGUUAAAUGUUUUUAUAAUCAAUAAGGAGUUUAAUAUAAAGUCGAGGGAUGCAGAGAUAAAUAGAAGAUUACCAGGAAAACGAAUCUUCUAUGACAGGUUGAUGCUGCCGCUGCAUAUUCAGGACAUGACAGUGGAACACUCUGCACCCAUGUACAGCACAAUCAGAGAGCGGAUUUUUGGGACCAGAUGGCCUGCUUAAGCAUAAGGGAUCCAGAGGUAAACAGCACCCGCCUGGAAGCCAACACAAAAGCAUCCUCACUGGCUGCUAUAUCUGGAUAUUAAACAAAACGAAGAGGACUGAACUCUGUUCCUGCAUGUCUGAAAGCACUGAGGUGGGAAAAACAGGCCAAGGAAAUAAUUAACGCAAACCUGUGACUGAAGGCCAGUGGAUAUUACAGUGAAACCCUGUGAGCUGUGGUUCUGUCCAAAGAAUAUUUUUACAUACACACCACCACCCACAGACACCAAUGAACUGCCCUAGAAAUCCAGGCAAAGGUUGAGGAAAUUCUUCUUUGUAGUCACAAAAUAAA